UUUAGGAUAAAGGGCCUAUUGUCUUAAAGAAGGAUAAAACUCCUAAAAGCAGUGGUUCUGCCAAGAGGAAAAGGACACUAUCCCUGGAAGAUGACAGGGUGAUACCUUAUAAAUCUGAUCAGCUACAAAAUGACUCGAUGGUUAUUGACAUGGCCCCCCCUGCUGAUUGGGUGAAAAUAAAUGUUAGGAAAACUGUGAGUAUCU